rnacentral:rRNA from 1 species
UGGGGAAUAUUGCACAAUGGGCGAAAGCCUGAUGCAGCAACGCCGCGUGAGUGAUGAAGGCCUUCGGGUUGUAAAGCUCUGUCUUUUGGGACGAUAAUGACGGUACCAAAGGAGGAAGCCACGGCUAACUACGUGCCAGCAGCCGCGGUAAUACGUAGGUGGCAAGCGUUGCCCGGAUUUACUGGGCGUAAAGGAUGCGUAGGCGGAUUUUUAAGUGAGAUGUGAAAUACCCGGGCUUAACUUGGGUGCUGCAUUUCAAACUGGGAAUCUAGAGUGCGGGAGAGGAGAAUGGAAUUCCUAGUGUAGCGGUGAAAUGCGUAGAGAUUAGGAAGAACACCAGUGGCGAAGGCGAUUCUCUGGACCGUAACUGACGCUGAGGCAUGAAAGCGUGGGUAGCAAACAGGAUUAGAUACCCUGGUAGUCCACGCCGUAAACGAUGAGUACUAGGUGUAGGAGGUAUCGACCCCUUCUGUGCCGCAGUUAACACAAUAAGUACUCCGCCUGGGAAGUACGAUCGCAAGAUUAAAAAC